GGCAUCUAUAUUCUUUUCAGAUUCUCCCCACCCUCAAUAGUGUUCACGGAAAACGGAGCGAUCCAUUAGCACAUGAUUAAUUAAGUAUCUACUAAUUUUUUUUCAAAAAUGGACUAAUAUGAUUUUUUUAAGCAACUUUCGUAUAGAAACUUUUUGCAGAAAAAUGCACCGUUUAGUAGUUUGAAAAGCGUGCUAACGGAAAACGAGUAGAAUCUAAUCCUACUAGCCUGAAAAGAACGCAGAAUAUGCAGUAUGCACACUAGUGAGAAAACAGUACAGCAACAGAGAAGCUCAAACUCCAACACCAUUAUAUACACCACUCUGCUUGUUGGGUUUCUCUUGUUUUUUUUUUCUUUCUGAUGUGUCCAUUUGGGAAUGAGGGUGACAGUGAAAGUGAAGAAGAGUUUCAGAAACAGCAGCAGUAGGCAGCCAUUGCACAUUGUGUUUCAGCUCACAGGUGUGUGUAAUUGUGUAUGUAUAGUUCUAGCUCUGCAUUGGUGUAAUGGAAGCAAACCAAAACCGGAUUGGGGCAGUGUAGAUGACAGGAAAAAAAUGCAAUGGAGUGAUGGAUUUUGCUCAUCUUGUGCCUGCUGAUUGCUGAAUGGCAUGGACAAAAGAAAUAUUUGCCUGUUGUUGUGAGUAUUCUGCUUGGGUUCAUGAAGACUGUGUUGCUUGCUUGUAGGGUACUGGAAGAUGAUUUCCAUGAUGACUAUUUCCUAUGUGGUUUUUAAUUCAAUUUAGCUAAUCCUGUAUUACUCUUACUUUUUGAUUGUGUUGUGGGCCCACUUGCUGUCUGGGCCCUACCAAUGCUGUUAAAUGGAGAAAAUACUAAACUCGGGCACUAGUCAGCAGCGGUGCUUCUUGCAUGCAUAUCAUGGAACUGAUUCAAAAUUCACCAGUCGACUAAUCUGUUCUCCAUGUUAAUAUCCUAUGAAUCUAACCACUUGAAGUGUGAAGCUCAUGCCCUCAAUGUGAAAGUUUCCACAUAAAUAGCUCGCUUAAAAAUCACAUAAGCACACUACUACCCCUUAUAUUUCUUUUUGUUACACUUCGAUAGCCAUAUGCUACAUAGUGAUAGUCAUACGAUAAACCAAAAAGAUCUUGCUACACGGGAAAAAAAUAUUCGAUGCUCCUGUCGUUUUCUGUCUGUUCUUUUUUUUUUCACACAAGCUGGAGCUUUGGCCAAACUGCAAUGGGCUGGGCUAGCUUACAAUGGCACCGGAUGAGCAAUAUGAAGCAUUUUUUUAUUGUUUUUGUGAUAAAAGUUUUAGUUUAUGAACUUCAUGUUAAAGUGCUGGACGAAAGUCAAUCCCAGAUUUGUGCUUAAUUAAUUUGGGUGUUGCAGUACACUCUCAAGAUAUCUAUAUAUAUACUGCAGUCAGUGCCAUAUAUAUUACCAUUGGAUUGGUUCCUUAUAGUAGCCCAAUCCAUGCCAAUGCCCUUGAAUUCACAUUUUAUUUUUAGAAGAGAUGCUCAUGUCAAUGCUGUGAUAUUUGUGCAUAUAAAUAUCUCACUCUGGGUAUGAAUGCCCAAAAAAUUUUCGGUGAUGAGAUCUUGGGGAGAAGCAAAUAUUGCUAUCUUAUUUACCAAUAUGUUUUGAAGACGUGAAACACCUCUCAAAUGAUGGAUGAAUGGUGUUGAUCUUCUAUUAAGUUAUACUGUUCGAACAUGAUCAUUAAUGUAGAUGGGUGAUUUUGGCUUGCAUUCCACAUUUCUAAUGAUAUUCUUAUUCUUAUUACUAUAGAUCAUAAUUUUGUGAGAAAAGUUAUUAUAUAUGAGAAUGAAAAAGUAGAGAGAAGGAAGAAGCUUGGCUUUAAUCAUACUGGUUGAAGCAUCUUACGAUUCAUACCUAAUAGAAAAAUUAUUUUGUAUAAGAAUGGAAGAGUUGAAGAGGAUAAUGGAUAUAUUCUCAUUCAUUCCAAAUAAAUAAAAUAAAAUAAUUUGUUUUA